AGACCCGAAACCCGGUGAUCUAGCCAUGGGCAGGUUGAAGGUUGGGUAACACUAACUGGAGGACCGAACCGACUAAUGUUGAAAAAUUAGCGGAUGACCUGUGGCUGGGGGUGAAAGGCCAAUCAAACCGGGAGAUAGCUGGUUCUCCCCGAAAGCUAUUUAGGUAGCGCCUCGUGAAUUCAUCUCCGGGGGUAGAGCACUGUUUCGGCUAGGGGGCCAUCCCGGCUUACCAACCCGAUGCAAACUGCGAAUACCGGAGAAUGUUAUCACGGGAGACACACGGCGGGUGCUAACGUCCGUCGUGAAGAGGGAAACAACCCAGACCGCCAGCUAAGGUCCCAAAGUCAUGGUUAAGUGGGAAACGAUGUGGGAAGGCCCAGACAGCCAGGAUGUUGGCUUAGAAGCAGCCAUCAUUUAAAGAAAGCGUAAUAGCUCACUGGUCGAGUCGGCCUGCGCGGAAGAUGUAACGGGGCUAAACCAUGCACCGAAGCUGCGGCAGCGACACUGUGUGUUGUUGGGUAGGGGAGCGUUCUGUAAGCCUGUGAAGGUGUGUCGUGAGGCAUGCUGGAGGUAUCAGAAGUGCGAAUGCUGACAUAAGUAACGAUAAAGCGGGUGAAAAGCCCGCUCGCCGGAAGACCAAGGGUUCCUGUCCAACGUUAAUCGGGGCAGGGUGAGUCGACCCCUAAGGCGAGGCCGAAAGGCGUAGUCGAUGGGAAACGGGUUAAUAUUCCCGUACUUGGUGUUACUGCGAAGGGGGGACGGAGAAGGCUAUGUUGGCCGGGCGACGGUUGUCCCGGUUUAAGCGUGUAGGUGUGUGUUCCAGGUAAAUCCGGUUCACUUUAACACUGAGGCGUGACGACGAGGCACUACGGUGCUGAAGCAACAAAUGCCCUGCUUCCAGGAAAAGCCUCUAAGCAUCAGGUAACAUCAAAUCGUACCCCAAACCGACACAGGUGGUCAGGUAGAGAAUACCAAGGCGCUUGAGAGAACUCGGGUGAAGGAACUAGGCAAAAUGGUGCCGUAACUUCGGGAGAAGGCACGCUGACACGUAGGUGAAGUGAUUUACUCAUGGAGCUGAAGUCAGUCGAAGAUACCAGCUGGCUGCAACUGUUUAUUAAAAACACAGCACUGUGCAAACACGAAAGUGGACGUAUACGGUGUGACGCCUGCCCGGUGCCGGAAGGUUAAUUGAUGGGGUCAGCGCAAGCGAAGCUCCUGAUCGAAGCCCCGGUAAACGGCGGCCGUAACUAUAACGGUCCUAAGGUAGCGAAAUUCCUUGUCGGGUAAGUUCCGACCUGCACGAAUGGCGUAAUGAUGGCCAGGCUGUCUCCACCCGAGACUCAGUGAAAUUGAACUCGCUGUGAAGAUGCAGUGUACCCGCGGCAAGACGGAAAGACCCCGUGAACCUUUACUAUAGCUUGACACUGAACAUUGAGCCUUGAUGUGUAGGAUAGGUGGGAGGCUUUGAAGCGUGGACGCCAGUCUGCGUGGAGCCGACCUUGAAAUACCACCCUUUAAUGUUUGAUGUUCUAACGUGGACCCGUAAUCCGGGUUGCGGACAGUGUCUGGUGGGUAGUUUGACUGGGGCGGUCUCCUCCUAAAGAGUAACGGAGGAGCACGAAGGUUGGCUAAUCCUGGUCGGACAUCAGGAGGUUAGUGCAAUGGCAUAAGCCAGCUUGACUGCGAGCGUGACGGCGCGAGCAGGUGCGAAAGCAGGUCAUAGUGAUCCGGUGGUUCUGAAUGGAAGGGCCAUCGCUCAACGGAUAAAAGGUACUCCGGGGAUAACAGGCUGAUACCGCCCAAGAGUUCAUAUCGACGGCGGUGUUUGGCACCUCGAUGUCGGCUCAUCACAUCCUGGGGCUGAAGUAGGUCCCAAGGGUAUGGCUGUUCGCCAUUUAAAGUGGUACGCGAGCUGGGUUUAGAACGUCGUGAGACAGUUCGGUCCCUAUCUGCCGUGGGCGCUGGAGAACUGAGGGGGGCUGCUCCUAGUACGAGAGGACCGGAGUGGACGCAUCACUGGUGUUCGGGUUGUCAUGCCAAUGGCACUGCCCGGUAGCUAAAUGCGGAAGAGAUAAGUGCUGAAAGCAUCUAAGCACGAAACUUGCCCCGAGAUGAGUUCUCCCUGAGACUUUAGGUCUCCUGAAGGAACGUUGAAGACGACGACGUUGAUAGGCCGGGUGUGUAAGCGCAGCGAUGCGUUGAGCUAACCGGUACUAAUGAACCGUGAGGCUUAACCUUACAA
rnacentral:rRNA from 1 species